UCCGUAGGCGGUCAGGUAAGUCAGUGGUGAAAGCCCAUCGCUCAACGGUGGAACGGCCAUUGAUACUGCUUGACUUGAAUUAUUAGGAAGUAACUAGAAUAUGUAGUGUAGCGGUGAAAUGCUUAGAGAUUACAUGGAAUACCAAUUGCGAAGGCAGGUUACUACUAAUGGAUUGACGCUGAUGGACGAAAGCGUGGGUAGCGAACAGGAUUAGAUACCCUGGUAGUCC
rnacentral:rRNA from 1 species